UACGGAGGGUGCAAGCGUUAUCCGGAAUCAUUGGGUUUAAAGGGUCCGCAGGCGGGCAUAUAAGUCAGUGGUGAAAGCCUAUUGCUUAACAAUAGAACUGCCAUUGAUACUGUAUGUCUUGAAUUCGGUCGAAGUGGGCGGAAUGUGUAGUGUAGCGGUGAAAUGCUUAGAUAUUACACAGAACACCGAUAGCGAAGGCAGCUCACUAGGCCUGAAUUGACGCUCAUGGACGAAAGCGUGGGGAGCAAACAGGAUUAGAUACCCUGGUAGUCCACGCCGUAAACUAUGAUUACUCGUUUUCGGCGAUAUACAGUCGGAGACUAAGCGAAAGUGAUAAGUAAUCCACCUGGGGAGUACGAUCGCAAGGUUG
rnacentral:rRNA from 1 species